CAAGAUGGAAAAUCCAAAAAACCAAAUGGAAGCUGUAGAGGUGAAACACAUUUUUUAUCACAUCAAGGAGCUCGCAAACGUAUCGAGGGAAGCUAUCUUCGCUCAGAUCCUUGUCAGGAGGAAAGGAAGGCGUGUUCUUCUGCGAUAAAUGUGCUUUCGAAGAAUUGGCUCCACGAACCAUCGCCAACAUCUCUUCCUUGUUUGAAAACCCAGAGGAGCACAGAGCAAGGAGAAAAUAGCUUCUGCAAACAACACAACCAAAGAAAAAACAAAACCAAAAAAACAAAAAUAUAAAUACAGAUCAAAAUUUCCCUCACUCUUAAAAGGAAAUCUGUAAAAAGUAAAGUAAAACGUUAUUUAUUCACACAACCACAUCUAGAGACCGUAUUCUGGAUGAGGACAGGAGACGAUAGUCUGCCAUCAAAAAAAGUAAGGGACGGCCACGCAAACUGAUGACAGAAAAGAGUGAACCCGCUGUAAAAAUAGAAGGAAAG
rnacentral:lncRNA from 1 species